CUGCCAUAUAUUAAUCCAUAUCUUGAGGGGCAGCUCAGCUGGCAUAUAAAUGUUAGGCCUUGGAGAUCCUCCACAUAAGUCGCCAAUUCAAGUCUCCUUAAGGCCACUAAGGAUUUUCCCGGUUCUUAUCUUCAGGGCUCCACAAGAUUAGUCGAGAAUCCAUACUUUAUAAAAAGAACUGUUCAUUUUAUCCCUUUGACUACCUUUUCAGUGUAACGGGUAACAAACGCUUAUAUGAAAUUAUAAUGACAACGUCAUCUCAGCCUUAUGACCAACAUGUAUGGUUCUAAAGGUCCAUGAAUAUGAUUUCUGAAAGUUCUUGGGCUAAAAUAGAGGUAGUAUUAAGUUCUUUGAGUUAUUCAAUUAAAUUAACUCACAGUAACGAUUAAAGAGAACAGAAUAAAGUAGAGGCUUACAAAUUGUAUAAAGAUAAUGCUUUAUAGUUGGUUAUACAUACCUUCCUUAAGCCUAACCAUCAAAUCUGAAAAUGAAGACAUCAAAAUCAACCAGAUUCCUCUCUCUGCUGCUCCUGCUACUUCUCUUUUCAGCUUGCUCAACCAUAGUCGCAGUGAUUGGUGGUGCUCAUGCAAUUAGAAUCCCGGAACACAUGUGUCAAAAGAGGAUUGGUGGGGGGAAAUGUGAGCUGUGGAGAUGCCAUCACAGGUGUGCCAAAAGAGAGCCAUUUGGUGUUGGAAAAUGCAAUGGCAACAUGUGUAUCUGCUCAUAUUAUUGUAAGCUACCCCCAAUCUGACCAACAUAGUCUUCAAAUGGAUUUGAUUAUAAUUCUGAAGGUAUGUAGGGUUCCCACUCUAGACACGAGAUCUUUGAUCUCUGUUGGGAGCCAAAAUCUUUUUUUUUUUUUGGGUUGUUUUUUAAUAUUUAACCUUUU